rnacentral:rRNA from 1 species
UACGGAGGGUGCAAGCGUUAUCCGGAUUUACUGGGUUUAAAGGGUGUCGUAGGUGGGCGAGAAAGGUCAGUGGUGAAAUCUCCGGGCUUAACCCGGAAACUGCCAUUUGAUACUAUUUGUCUUGAAUACUUGGAGGUAAGCGGAAUAUGUUCAUGUAGCGGUGAAAUGCUUAGAUGAUGACAUAGUAACACCAAUUGCGCAGGCAGCUUACUACACAGUAAUUGACACUGAGGCACGAA